UCAGCUGUUAAGUUCGCUAAUUACCUUCAAUUCUGCCGAUUUCACCAAGAUCUCUACACUGGAUUAAUACUUUUGACAAACAGGACUUGCUCAAAAUUUUGGAACACUUUUCAGCAUUUAUCUGAGCAGCUGAAGAAGAAAAAUGUUCUGGGGGAGCUUAAGUGAGGGAUAUGAAAGCCAGUUACUCCCAGUGCCGGCAGAUACGUAUAUGUUUGCAUGCGUGUCGCAGGCAGCGUCUUUUUCGUCAAGCCAACAGAUGAAGGUUCUGGCUGCUGAGAAGCAUCCCCACAGCAUGAUGCUGCCACCACAGUGCUUCACAGUGGGGGAUGCUGUGUUUGUGGUGAUGUGCAGUGCCUGGUGCCCAUCUAUUGAAACCUAAUCAGUUAAGUCCCUAAAUUUCCUAAAACUGAAAGCCCCCCCCCCAAUAAGGAGAGCAGUCUUGCACCUGUUAGCUGUAAAGGACUGGCAGGAUGAUCCGUGAGCUUACUUGGAGCUAUGGUCCGCUAAAGCCAGGCACUUCUUUGUCUGAUGGAGUCAGUGGAGCAGAGAGCGACCCGGCUGUCAGUCUGACUCUGCACAUCAAAGCCUGUGUGAGUAAUUGCUUAAUGUGGCAGAACUGCACUACUGACAAACACGCUGUCUCCCAGACAAGAUCAGUGUUCUCAUCCUCCACCGGCAUCACUUAAUAAUGAACAAAUCAGAGAAAUAUCCACCUUUCACUCCACCGCUUUGGAGAUGUUGUCCCUUUGUGAAUAAUGCUGAUUAUUUCACUCUGGUACUGAUCAUAUAGGAACACAUUUAUUCUUCUCAGAGCUCACUGAAAUAAACCUGAUGACUGUUUUAUUAAAAAAUAC